AGCCGCCCUCCACGGCUGUUGUGGUUUGCACAACUCUCGGAAUCCUCCUCAUCGCUGAAUUUGUCACACUGGUGAUAAUAGCUCGGAGGCAAUCAGCAAGAAGAGAUGCAGAGAUGAGAGGCGGGGGCUUUGGCUUUUACGAAGCAAUUUAUGAAGAGAUUGACGAUACUCUUCCUGGAAACAAGUUCAGUCAGAUGGAUGAUUCAAUCUCUGGAUCCAUUGAUUCCAUGAAUCAAAUAGAAUAUUACACCAGCGACCCUCUGGGUAGUGC